UUCUGCCUGCCCGUUAGGACAUAAUAUAUUUUUUUUUCCCUUGCCCCGUUGCCCGUGGAGAAGGCUCGUCUUCCUCUUGCAGAAGCUCUCCCGCAUCCAGCUGCUCACGUCUGCAUCAGCUCCUCUUCCUCAUCCCUGUCGAGUUAUGACUUGUGACCUAAUUUUACUGAUGGCGGGUCAUUUUUGUCGUGAGAAAGGGAAGGCUCAAUGAGGCAGCACAUUAUUGUAGACAGGCUUUAGCAGUCGUCAUCUGCCCCAAUUAAUUGUCAUAGUAACCUUUGGGAAUGCGAUGAAGGUUCAUGGUCCAUUACAAGAAGUGAGUUACUUUGUUCUUUGAAGAGGAAAUCUGUUUUCUAUAAAUUCUAUAGAAUAACAUAGUGUGAUUUCUUUGCUAAUGUACUUUAAAUUUGGUUUUCUUUUUAUUUGUAUUAUUCUUGCCCUGUGUGCUUGAGUGUUGUAUGUUCAUCUUGGCUGCAAGCAUUUUGUGUUUUGAUCUUCUUGCUAGUGAUUAUAGUUUUCUGAAGUUUCUGGGUUUUUUACUGACCUUUAAUAGUUUAAUUAGGAAAAAUUGUUUUUGAGAACUUUUAUUCUGUUAUACUUUGUACAGAAAUUGGGAAGAAUAAAAAAAUACCAAAAUUGUUCAAAAAAUUCUGAAUUUUGGUUUUCUAAAAUCCUCUACUUCUGUAGAGUAAAAAUAUCCCUAGUUUUCAUAUCGGUUCUUUACAAUAUAAUGUCUUUUUAACCCAGAUUUGUGAACCUUUCAGAAAUCGAAAAGUCUGCCUCUGUUUUAUAUCCAAACACUUUUUUACUUUCGCUUUCUGCAGACAGCCUUACAUUCAGAGUCUAACAGUGUCCAAUCCCAUGAUUGUCAUCAUCAUUUCCCUAAUGAUUUUACGAAAGCCACUGCAUAGGACUGGUUUAUCCUGGGCUUCGUUCAAGGAAAGAGAAGAACUUAACCUAAACCUCUUGUAAAAUCAGUUGAUGACCUAACAUUUAUGAGAACUUGUCACCCUUAAACCAACCUUUUAUGUAGAAUAUCAUACUUUUGUGGGAAAGUUGGUGAAGUUCGUUCUUCUACUCAGUCUACCCAUCUUGUUUUGCAUUCACCCAUCUCUUUAGGGAGUAGAGCUUAUGCCUCCUGGUGAUAUACCAUUUGAUGUCAAGAACAUUUGUAAAAUAAUUUUUUUUUAAUUUUGCUUAAAAACAUUUUAAAAAUGUCUUCGCUCAUAAUGAUAUGUCUUUGCUUUACUCUUAGUAUCUUCUCGAGUAGGAGAAACUUUCAAGUUUUUGUUGUCAAUCAAUGGAAGAGGAAAGCUGAAAAAAUCCUGGAUUUGAACAAUAAGGAAAACUCCUAUGAAGCUGAGAAAGUCAAGACUAGGAAAUGCUAUUGACUCUGGUGUUCAAACAUUUGCAAGGAUUUAGCAUGAAAAUAUAUGAGAGAGAAGCCACAAUGCUCUGUAAGAUCUUGGCAGGUAGCAAAAUGAGUGUUGAGAGAUGGGCUCGGGGCUUGUGUAGUUGUUCUCUGAGUCAGUAAUCAAGAGUACCGGGUAGGCAUAAAGCUGAUUUAUGUCUAUUUCGCGAAGAUAAUGGCUUAUGAACCUUUGGCUCGUUGAAAACCCGUAAGGUGAAGCGGGUUGGACACGUGACAAAGCUACACAUAACCACCAAAGCAGUGGAGCUUCGUAGUAGCCUUUGAGGUGGUGAGGUAUUCCCUCAAAGGUGAAGGUCGGCCUGAAAAAAAAAAUCAAAGGAAAAAAAAUCAAAAGGCAAAAAGCUGAAUGCAAAAAAAAAAAAAAAAAAAGAAAAAAAAAAGGUGUCUGCCAAGAGAUGAAAGACAUGAAGGCUGAACUCGCAGGAAUUGAAUGUAACGAUCUUUUGUGGAUGUGUGAAUUUGGGGUCAAUAUCUGCUCCUUUUUUUUGAUUACCUAAGAUGUCGAGGAUGAUUCCUUUAUGUUCACAUUUUGGAAAUUGAAAGAUAUCCCUUCUAGAGGUUCAACGACAUUGAUGCGAAAUGAAUCCUAAUCCUUGUAUGGUACUAUGGGUAAGUGAAUGACAUAUUAUUUGCACAACACGAGCACUUAAGUUUAUGAGUUAAAGUGAUAAUUUUGAACUAUUUCAAAGUAAAAUUUGACAUCUCUUGUUAUGUUUCGAGGUUUUCUAGGCAUAAGAGGAACUAAACGAUCCCCUUUGGUCUUGAAAGGUGUUUGCCAUUUCAUUAACAAACCACUAGUCCGUUCAUGGAAUAGAUGAAACUCUUCAAACCUAGUCCACUCAUACUGAAUGUGACAAUUUGUCCAUCUUUUCUUUUGUCUUCAAAGAGAUCAUUUGGGAACCUGACCCAUAAUUCCAUCUUAACCGAGUGUCUUCAACCCGUUGAAAUGUCUUCAACCUGUUUUUCAAUGACAUAACCCAGACUUAGGGAAGAUCUCUUAUUGGUCGAUCUUGAACUGUGACAUUUUUGAAAAAUUUUAUCCUUUAAAGUUGUAUGAGUUUUGUUCCUGGCUUCAUCUAAUAUUUGUCUUGGCUUGCAAUACAUGGUUUUGCAAAAUGGGGUGGAGUUAUUCUUCAUCGUCACCAACCACCCUCACAUGCCUUUGCGCUGUCGCCUUCAUAGUUUUGGACCAGGCUGGCUGAAUGACCUACUCCCCGUCGAUUGAGGCUGUUGCUUUUAAUCCAGUUCUUCCCAUUCCCACGAGAUGCUUUUCCUACAUUGGAGGAGAAGGUGAGCCACGAGAUGUUUUUCCUACAUUGGAGGAGAAGGUGAGCUGAGGUUGGUCCACAAUUAUGUCAGAAUGUAAGGCCCAGGAUCAUGAACUAAAAGGCCUGUUGUGGUUGGCGAACCAAGAGCCUUUGAUGCCAUUCACCAUUCAACGACAACUGUUCUAGAAAAACCAAAGUACUUAAUACAACCAGAGUUGGCUGUGGCAUUGGUUAAAGACAUCCUUAGGAAUGUGUUGUUGAUGUACUGAACACGAAAUAAUGCCUUUACUUUUCAUGUUUGUUGUGGUUUAAAGCAUAUGGAAGAUAUGACUCAGGGUCGUCUCUGUCAUGAACAUGUGUGUGUGUGUCUCUCUCUCAUACCCAAGUAGAAAGACACAUGCACGUGCACAAGUACUGAAAAACAUGUAUUUGUUGAUGUGUAGCUAGUGCUUGAAUUCGUGGCAUUUAUAAAAUAUCACAAUGCAGGUGGAUAUGGCUGAUUGGUGUAUUUUAUGGGCCCACUGUUCAAACGUGCAUAUGUUUUUAUUAGAGCUAACAUGUCAAUUCAUACAGUUAAAAGCAUUAAUAGAAGCAAAUUCUUGUUCUUUCCUACAAAUGAUAUGUGCCUCAUAGAGGGAGGGAGUUAUGCAAGUUUUUUGUCCAUGUAGGUGAUUGCCUUUUCUUAGCUGCAAAGUCAGAUGGGACUCCUCAUCUCCUGAAGGCUGCUUUUGAAAAUUGCCAUAAGCACAACUUUCAAUUUUCCUAUUUUCUUUCUGCUGAAAAAUGCUCAUUGGCAUACUUGAUUCUUACCAAAACUAUAUUGGGGAGCACAAGGAGCAAGUCAUUGAUGCUGUUACACUGACGACAGCAUCUAUGCCCUUUGGGUUGGAGAUGCGCUCAUUUGGAUCCAAAUGUAGUAUGAAGUUUAUGGUUAGACAAGACCAUCUUUUUUUAGGAAAAAGGAAGCACUUCCCUGAAUAUGUCAUUCACCGGCAAUACCGUCUCAUAU